rnacentral:rRNA from 1 species
UUGACUCUAGUCCGACUUUGUGAAGCGGCCUGGGAGGUGUAGGAUAAGGGGGAGCUUCGGCAAUAGUGAAAUACCCCUACUCUCAUGGUCGCUUUACUUAUUCCAUUAGGUAGAGUCCUCUUUGAGGUUCUAGAAUUAAGAUCACUUUGUGAUUGAUCUAUGUGGAAGACAUAGUCAGGUGGGGAGUUUGGCUGGGG